GAUGAACGCUGGCGGCGUGCCUAAUACAUGCAAGUCGAGCGAACAGAUGAGGAGCUUGCUCCUCUGACGUUAGCGGCGGACGGGUGAGUAACACGUGGAUAACCUACCUAUAAGACUGGGAUAACUUCGGGAAACCGGAGCUAAUACCGGAUAAUAUAUUGAACCGCAUGGUUCAAUAGUGAAAGACGGUUUUGCUGUCACUUAUAGAUGGAUCCGCGCCGCAUUAGCUAGUUGGUAAGGUAACGGCUUACCAAGGCAACGAUGCGUAGCCGACCUGAGAGGGUGAUCGGCCACACUGGAACUGAGACACGGUCCAGACUCCUACGGGAGGCAGCAGUAGGGAAUCGUCCGCAAUGGGCGGAAGCCGGGCGGAGCAACGCCGCGUGAGUGAUGAAGGUCUUCGGAGCGGAAAACCUUGUUAUUAGGGAAGAACAAAUGUGUAAGUAACUAUGCACGUCGUGACGGUACCUAAUCAGAAAGCCACGGCUAACUACGUG
rnacentral:rRNA from 1 species